UGGGGAAUAUUGCAGCAAUGGGCGCAAGCCUGAUGCAGCCAUGCCGCGUGUGUGAAGAAGGCCUUCGGGUUGUAAAGCACUUUCAGCGAGGAGGAAGGUGGUGAGCUUAAUACGCUCAUCAAUUGACGUUACUCGCAGAAGAAGCACCGGCUAACUCCGUGCCAACAGCCGCGGUAAUACGGAGGUGCAAGCGUUAAUCGGAAUUACUGGGCGUAAAGCGCACGCAGGCGGUUUGUUAAGUCAGAUGUGAAAUCCCGGGCUCAACCUGGGAACUGCAUUUGAAACUGGCAAGCUAGAGUCUCGUAGAGGGGGGUAGAAUUCCAGGUGUAGCGGUGAAAUGCGUAGAGAUCUGGAGGAAUACCGGUGGCGAAGGCGGCCCCCAUGGACGAAGACUGACGCUCAGGUGCGAAAGCGUGGGGCAGCAAACAGGAUUA
rnacentral:rRNA from 1 species